CGGGAAUCCCACAAUUGGCCCAGCGUUGUCUGGAUUAGGGGAGGGUUUGGCCGGGGUAGGCCGUCAUUGAGGGAGAAGGAAACAGAGGAACGAAGGAGCCGCCAAGUUCCAGGGAUGUCCGGGGUUUUAGUGGCAGGUCACGACAAGUACCUUUUAUCCGGUUUGCAAUGAACAGCUGUUGGAUCUCCUUCUCAAUCUUUGUGGAUUACGAUUCAUAAUUGAGGGGCUUAGACAAAGGAUACAAUCAAACCAUUCUAUUCUAUUCUUACAAAACACACACAUACAGUUCACUCCCAAUGUCCCACUUACACACGCUUUGGAGAUGACACCACUGCUCAAACUAUAGCACGAAGGAAAGUAAAGAAGGCACUACGACCUAAUUGAAUGGACAGAUCGUUGGGCUCAUUUCAUCAAAUGGCUUAUACCUGCAGCCUUGCUACCUAUAAAAACUUGACAGAAUCCAGAUUUUAAAGCCUUAGUAAUUAUUAGGGAUGUAACGAUUCACCAAUAUGCAUCGAUCCCAGUUCAAAUGAGAUAUGGGUGCAUUGGUCUGUGUGACCCCAAACCGAACUAAAUGUAGCAUGCAUCGUUCAGAAAAUCAAUACAAACGUUGACUUUUUGUUGCUCAAAUUACUUUUUUAUUUAACAAGGUAACUCAGUUAUGAACAAAUUGUUAUUUACAAUGAUGGCCUUCCCUGGCCAAACCCUAACCUGGAUGACGCUGGGCCAAUUGUGCGCUGCCCUAUGGGAUUCUCAAUCACAGCCGGUUGUGAUACAGCCUGGAAUCGAACCAGGGUCUGUAGUGACGCAGUGCUUUAGACCGCUGAGCCAUCGGGAGCCCACUUUCUUUCUGGAGCCCAUCGGGAGCCCACUUUCUUUUCGGGAGCCCAUACUGCUCAUCUUUUGUGACAACUGCGUCCUCUCCUUCAAUGUUGAUCUAAGCAUGUGUUGACAGCAACUGAUCUACAAGUCAUUUUGCAUGCUGAACAACCCCAGGCAAUAUCAGUAGCCUAGUCAAACUGUGUGCUGUGCGUAGCUUCCCGCGCUGACCAACAAGAGUUAGGCCUAUUCCUGAUUUGGCACAUCUGCAUGUCACCUUCAUAAAAUGGCUUGGGCAAUAUUAGGCAAUAUUAGUUGAGUGUCAACCAAUGUAACUUGCUAGAUUAUUUUUAUCACAUGCUAUGUUGAAAAUGGUGUUUUACGGAAUAAAAGUAGCAACGGAGACAACUCAUCUGGCUGCAAUGCAUACAUCUGGGCUUACAUUAGAUUUUAUUUUGGAUGUUCAUGUUCACUAUCAGCAAUAGUUUUGCUUGAAACAACUCACCAGACAGUUUAAUAGGUACA
rnacentral:lncRNA from 1 species